AUAGCUAGCUUUAUUCUAGGUUGCCCCAGCAGGCAAAAUAAGAGUCAGCGUGAAUUUCAGCGAGGCAGAUUUCAAUACUAGAAAGUCAACAUGAAAACAGUCUACAGCAACAGUCAUCAGACAGAAUGAAUCGCUAUGUGCCAGGGUAGUCUUCCUAUGUUAAAAUUACUGUGGAACACACAGCAGAAGCCUUUGAAGGCUUCUGAGUUAGGCAGGGAGUGGAACUGGAUAUCCUCUAAGGUCCCAUUUAUCUCUUGGAUUCCUGCUGAACUCCCAAAUCUGGAUUACAUAAUGUCCUUUGAGACCAAAGCAGGCAAGGGAAGAAAUGAGAACGGAAGAAAGAAGAGGGCAGGCAGGCUCAGGAGUGAGGAUGACACCCGCCAAGGAUCGAAGGCCCUGGAGCCCCCGUAUGACCGGGUUUGCUGCAGAGCAUCCCCUGCCGAGCCUCCAGAGAACCGAAUCUCCAGCCAGCUCAGGCGAGGUGGACCAACUAUAAGGAAAAAGAAGGCAAAUCUUUGCGUUCCCCACAGCCAGCCAGCCAAGCCUUGUCAUGUUGCACCAGAAGAGGCAAAACCACAGCCAAAAAGCAUGAAGACGCUGCCCUGGGGACUGAGGCAUCCAUCGUUCCAGGGAGAGAAUUCCAGUUGGUGGGCUGCUAAAAUAUCCUGGCUCCCUUUAUAGAAGUUGUGAGCAUGUGGCCAGUGCAAAUGUUAACCAAAUAAAAUGCAUAAUGUA